UACUACAAAUACUGCCUAUUAAAGCACUUAGCUAGCCACGCAAUAUAAAAAUAUUGCUGAAAAAUCACAUUUAUUGUUAAAUUGAGGCGCAAAAUAAAUAGUACCGCAAUAUAGCGCUGCUGAAGCUAAAUAAACGCACCACUUAAAAUUUUCAUCAAGUGAAUUGUUUCAAAGAGAAAAUCCCACUAUUCCCAAUAUCCCACUACUGCAGUCUUCCUCAAUCCCUAACCUCUCGCUUUUGAGCAAAUUUUCCCAAUUUAUGCGCUCAAUUCAUCAAUCUUCAAUUCAAUUUGUGAGUUUUAAUCCAUCCAAAUGUCAAUCGCAACUCGUACUAAAGAACCCUAAUCAUUAAAAUCGUUACUCUUUUCGCUGGAUCUUUGUUCUUAAUUGCUUCAUUCUGCAGUUCAAUUCGUGAGUUUCAAUCAAUCUUGUCAGCCCAUACGAUUUGCUGGAAUAUUCAUCUGCAUCAUUUGAAGAACUUCAUGUGAAAAAAAAAGAGAUUGCAAAAAAAGAGGUUUAAUUUGAUUAUCAAGUCCUCUCAGGCUCUGUCGAAUGAUCAUUGUCAGUACUUCUUGUUUCAGGCCAGAGUACUAUGGAAAAGCCGUCUAGUUGAAUUGGAAUAGUCCCCAGAUUGGGAGCAAAUAUAUUUGCGAGUAAUAGGCCGGGUAUGUAAUUUGCAAGAGGAGUAUUUGGCAAGACUUGCAUGCAGCCUACAACGAUGUAGAAUUAGAUGAGAUUCGAGAACAAUAGGCUAAGUUUUUUAGACUUAAUUUUUUUGUUGAAAGACUAGUUAUUUUAUUGAUCAAUGUUAUGAUCAAUCGCAUUUAUCUAUAUAAAACAAUUAACACAUUUCUAUAUAUAUACUUUUAUUUGGCCUA